rnacentral:lncRNA from 1 species
AUGGGAGGUGCAAGUGGAUUUCAGGAGUUGUGCAGAAAGAUGUUUACUUUGUGAAGACAAUCAAGUUUUUAUUUCUUUCUUUUCAAUGUGAUUUGGCAGAGUGAAUUUGGGUUUUCAAGUGAAUUAAGUUGUUUGGAUCGGGAUACCAGUUAAUUAUACGAUUCUAUUUUGUAAUCAGUGUUUAAAGAUCUUUGGUUUGGAUUAAGUUGUUCUUUUGCUUGUCUUGGUUGCCUUCUUGCCCGGUCCGGGUGGACAUUGAAAUCAACUAAACUGCGUAACCAACUCGGCCAACCCAAUUCCGCUGAGUUGAAUAGUUUUGGCUUGAUUUAGUUUAAGUACCAAAACAGACGUUUAAUGCACAUAGGGAGGCAAUUAAUCAUGUGUUUGGAUGAUC